GCCGCGGUGGUGAAAUGGUAGACGCAGAGGACUCAAAAUCCUCCGAUCGCAAGGUCAUGAGAGUUCGAGUCUCUCCCGCGGCA
rnacentral:tRNA from 1 species